UCGAUAACAUUGCGAAAGCGAUGCUAAUACCGGAUAACAUCUCAAAACCAUCUGGUUUUGAAAUUAAAAAUGGCCUCUACAUGUAAGCUGUUGUUUGGAGAUGAGCCCGCGUACCAUUAGCUUGUUGGUAGGGUAAUGGCCUACCAAGGCAACGAUGGUUAGCUGGUCUGAGAGGAUGAUCAGCCACGCUGGAACUGACACACGGUCCAGACUCCUACGGGAGGCAGCAGUGAGGAAUUUUGCGCAAUGGGGGAAACCCUGACGCAGCAACGCCGCGUGAGUGAUGAAGGCCCUCGGGUCGUAAAGCUCUGUCAAGUGGGAAGAAAAUGUAAAAUGCUAAUAUCAUUUUGCACUGACGGUACCACUGAAGGAAGCACCGGCUAACUCCGUGCCAGCAGCCGCGGUAAUACGGAGGUGCAAGCGUUAUUCGGAAUUAUUGGGCGUAAAGGGCGCGUAGGCGGCCCUUUAAGUCAGAUGUGAAAGCCCGGGGCUUAACCCCGGAAGUGCAUUUGAAACUAAAGGGCUUGAGUAUGGGAGAGGGAAGUGGAAUUCCUGGUGUAGCGGUGAAAUGCGUAGAUAUCAGGAGGAACACCGGUGGCGAAGGCGACUUCCUGGACCAAUACUGACGCUAAGGCGCGAAGGCGUGGGUAGCAAACAGGAUUAGAUACCCUGGUAGUCCACGCAGUAAACGGUGAACACUAGGUGUAGCGGGUAUUGACCCCUGCUGUGCCGCAGCUAACGCAUUAAGUGUUCCGCCUGGGGAGUACGGUCGCAAGAUUAAAACUCAAAGGAAUUGACGGGGGCCCGCACAAGCGGUGGAGCAUGUGGUUUAAUUCGACGCAACGCGAAGAACCUUACCUGGAUUUAACAUCCCGGGAAGUCUUUUGAAAGAAAGAUGUGCCCUUCGGGGAACCCGGUGACAGGUGCUGCAUGGCUGUCGUCAGCUCGUGUCGUGAGAUGUUGGGUUAAGUCCCGCAACGAGCGCAACCCCUAUCUUUAGUUACCAUCAUUUAGUUGGGGACUCUAAAGAUACUGCUCCGGUUAACGGGGAGGAAGGUGGGGAUGACGUCAAGUCCUCAUGGCCUUUAUGUCCAGGGCUACACACGUGCUACAAUGGGCUGUACAAAGGGUUGCGAACCCGCGAGGGUGAGCCAAUCCCAGAAAGUAGCUCCUAGUUCGAAUUGGAGUCUGCAACUCGACUCCAUGAAGCUGGAAUCGCUAGUAAUCGUGGAUCAGCAUGCCACGGUGAAUACGUUCCCGGGCCUUGUACACACCGCCCGUCACACCAUGAGAGUUGGUUGUACCAGAAGUUGUUGGACUAACCUGUAAAGGAAGUAGGCACCUAAGGUAUGGCUGAUGAUUGGGGUGAAGUCGUAACAAGGUA
rnacentral:rRNA from 1 species